rnacentral:rRNA from 1 species
AGCGAACGCUGGCGGCAGGCUUAACACAUGCAAGUCGAACGGGCAUAGCAAUAUGUCAGUGGCAGACGGGUGAGUAACGCGUGGGAACGUACCUUUUGGUCCGGAACAACACAGGGAAACUUGUGCUAAUACCGGAUAAGCCCUUACGGGGAAAGAUUUAUCGCCGAAAGAUCGGCCCGCGUCUGAUUAGCUAGUUGGUAGGGUAAUGGCCUACCAAGGCGACGAUCAGUAGCUGGUCUGAGAGGAUGAUCAGCCACAUUGGGACUGAGACACGGCCCAAACUCCUACGGGAGGCAGCAGUGGGGAAUAUUGGACAAUGGGCGAAAGCCUGAUCCAGCCAUGCCGCGUGAGUGAUGAAGGCCCUAGGGUUGUAAAGCUCUUUUGUGCGGGAAGAUAAUGACGGUACCGCAAGAAUAAGCCCCGGCUAACUUCGUG